AGAGUUUGAUCAUGGCUCAGGAUGAACGCUAGCGGCAGGCUUAAUACAUGCAAGUCGUGGGGCAGCAUGAGUGUAGCAAUACAUUUGAUGGCGACCGGCAAACGGGUGCGGAACACGUACGCAACCUUCCUUUAAGUGGGGAAUAGCCCGGGGAAACCCGGAUUAAUACCCCGUAAUAUUAUGAGGUGGCAUCAUCUUAUAAUUAUAGCUCCGGCGCUUAGAGAUGGGCGUGCGUCUGAUUAGGUAGUUGGCGGGGUAACGGCCCACCAAGCCUACGAUCAGUAACUGGUGUGAGAGCACGACCAGUCACACGGGCACUGAGACACGGGCCCGACUCCUACGGGAGGCAGCAGUAAGGAAUAUUGGUCAAUGGACGCAAGUCUGAACCAGCCAUGCCGCGUGGAGGAUGAAGGUCCUCUGGAUUGUAAACUUCUUUUAUCUGGGAAGAAACCCAUGGUUUCUACUAUGGUUGACGGUACCAGAUGAAUAAGCACCGGCUAACUCCGUGCCAGCAGCCGCGGUAAUACGGAGGGUGCAAGCGUUAUCCGGAUUCACUGGGUUUAAAGGGUGCGUAGGUGGGCAGGUAAGUCAGUGGUGAAAUCUCCGGGCUUAACCCGGAAACUGCCGUUGAUACUAUCUGUCUUGAAUAUCGUGGAGAUGAGCGGAAUAUGUCAUGUAGCGGUGAAAUGCUUAGAUAUGACAUAGAACACCGAUUGCGAAGGCAGCUCGUUACACGGUUAUUGACACUGAGGCACGAAAGCGUGGGGAUCAAACAGGAUUAGAUACCCUAGUAGUCC
rnacentral:rRNA from 1 species